AACGCCGUCUUCCGGUCCGUUGCCUAGCAACGGCACUGGAACAACUGACGAGGCCAUAUUCUCCACAAGCAAAACAACCGCUAGGUGACACCAACACCUAGUACAACAAACGCACUCUUCUCGCUCAAAGUCUGACAUAGUGCUGGAAAACAACUUUUUAUGCUUAAUUUCACAACGUAAUGUUGACUUAAAAACAAAAAUUAAAACACACGCGAAAGACACGGUAAUAGGUGCGUCAAACAAACUUGAGGCAAAUGCGCGCUCAGACCAAUUACAUAGCACUGAAAAUGUUCCCAACAUGGAAAUGAUCCCUAUCGGCAAGUGUAACAGUUUUACCUCAGGGGCGAAACGGGGAACGCGACCAGUUAUGAUAGAUUUAUUAUAGGAAAGGUGGGUCGUGUUGUGCGUUACGCGCCAGGCGACAAACGGCACCGGGAAUGACAGGAAAGAAGUCACUUUAAUGCCAGCCGUGUCCUGAUUGACAAGGAACAGCUGAAUCAGGAACGUGCCCCCAAAAGCUGCAGGGUUCCCCACGGAUACGACCCUUAAGCUGCUAAAGUCAGAGGUCGAUGGUCCCGGAGGGAAGUGUUGGCGACACCCCAGCAGUUGGGCAGACAGAGGCGUUCAGUAGACUAAUGGGGUCUGACUUCAUCAUUAAGGAGGUUUCUGUAAACACCUCAUUUGUAGUCCUUGCGUGAAUCAAAGAGGCCGCAACAAAAGGAAGAUGGAGGUGCGUUGACUGCAGCCACUCAAAGGUAAAGCCGAUAGCAGCUCAACAAUAGCAGCAGGAAAAGUGGAGAAAAUGGCGCUUGGGUUUCAAUGUCAACAACUGAAUUCUUGUGAAAACAAGUCAAGAGAUCAUCGUUUCUCAGCACCAAACAGUUUAACAUCCAGAACUCAAUGAAGACUGUGGUUACCCAUCGCAUCGGUUGCUUACUAUAGCUGACAGCAAGGUAUAAACAAUAGUGACCUCCGUACCAGAUCUUUUGGGCCACACAAAAGCUACUGCUUUCUGAGAGGCCUCGGUACAUGAAUUCAAAUUCAUAAUUAUGUAGAUGGGAAUGAAACAUUGUGACCCAGGCCAAUAAAUAUUCACUUUAUUCUUUAUUCGCUUUUUAAUAAUUAGAGCGAACAUUUUUAAAUGACUUGCAAAGAUAAAGAACGUGAGACGUGAGAAGUGAAGAGAUUUUUAAGGAAAGAGAGACACAGUUAUGCACCAGUUUAAAGGGGGGUUAGAGGCCGUGAGGGUAUUUAUGUUUCUUAUGAAUGAGAGCCUGUGUUUUUAUAAACAUUCACAGCUAUACACCGACCACCGAACUGUGAGCACAAGCAGGUCUUGAAUCUUCACUGAAAAUUUUAAUGAUGGUGUUUUUCUUGAAUGACUUGUUUUCAGAGUAUGUUGCGUGAACUGCAUUUUUACUUAUAAUUUAUCUUACUCUGACCCUCUUUAACAAAUACUUUUCAAUAGAGACGUAUACUCCAAAAUGUAUCGUAAUGUAUCACGCAAUGUGCCGUUUCAGGUAAACUUGGCUUGUUUUAAUCAUUUUUAGAUAUAUGACUCAGUCUGAAAACCCAGCUAAAGUAAUUUUUUGUGUUUUUAAAGUAAUUUUUUGUACAGAAAAUCACUGCUCAUGACGAAAAGAACAUUUUGUUUGUGUGUGUGUGUGUAUAGCCUUGAUACCUUUAAUAUCGACUAAGUAAGGUCAUAUCAAACAUAAGGAAACGUUAGCCUGGAUUUCACAAAUAAAAAAAAAUGUAUAGAUACCUAUACCUAACCCUAACCUUUUGCAGUGUAUUUAUUCAUGAUUUAUGUCUUUUUCAAUUCAAUAUUUAAUUACCAUGCAUUCAUAAGUUCAUGUACAUCUAACACGAAAAAAAGAAUGUGUGCACCCUCUAGUGGCACAAUGCAGGUAUAAAUGUAAAAUCAAAAGUCUAGCUAGUUUUCAGAUGUUUAUGUGUAUGUGCAAAAUUUUGGCAAAUGCAUACAGAUGUUACUGUCUUUGCCGAUUAUGUAACCUUACAUUUUUUUUGUAGAAUGUAUCAAUAUAUGUGGAUAAGUGACAAAAACAGUUUGGCAAUAUGAGAAAUUCAAAAAUCUUUUAAAAAAACGUGUUUUAAAAGCACGCAUCAGGUUUAUUUCAAUGCACAUAGUGUAUUUAUGUUAAUUUUAUGCAAUAAAAAAUUACAUUUUCACCGUU